rnacentral:rRNA from 1 species
CGCCUGGGGAGUACGACCGCAAGGUUGAAACUCAAAGGAAUUGACGGGGGCCCGCACAAGCGGUGGAGCAUGUGGUUUAAUUCGAAGCAACGCGAAGAACCUUACCAGGUCUUGACAUCCCAGUGCCCGCUCUAGAGAUAGAGUUUUUCUUCGGAACACUGGAGACAGGUGGUGCAUGGUUGUCGUCAGCUCGUGUCGUGAGAUGUUGGGUUAAGUCCCGCAACGAGCGCAACCCUUAUUGUUAGUUGCCAUCAUUAAGUUGGGCACUCUAGCGAGACUGCCGGUAAUAAACCGGAGGAAGGUGGGGAUGACGUCAAAUCAUCAUGCCCCUUAUGACCUGGGCUACACACGUGCUACAAUGGCUGGUACAACGAGCGGCAAGUCGGUGACGGCAAGCAAAUCUCUCAAAGCCAGUCUCAGUUCGGAUUGUAGGCUGCAACUCGCCUACAUGAAGUCGGAAUCGCUAGUAAUCGCGGAUCAGCACGCCGCGGUGAAUACGUUCCCGGGCCUUGUACACACCGCCCGUCACACCACGAGAGUUUGUAACACCCGAAGUCGGUGAGGUAACCAUUUAGGAGCCAGCCGCCUAAGGUGGGAUAGAUGAUUGGGGUGAAGUCGUAACAAGGUAGCCGUAUCGGAAGGUGCGGCUGGAUCACCUCCUUUCUAAGGAA